ACUGGCCACUAAAAGCUUCAAAAGAGAUUUUAAUAUUUUAUCUUUCCCUCACUUUUUUUUCACACUAGCUAUUCCCUCCAAUUUCCCAAAAUAACAAAAUUAAGUUUGAAAAUUUUGGGAAUACUUUACAAAGGCUCGGCUUGUCUCACCCCUGCCGCUGAAAUCACCACCGCCGCUGCAACUCAUUUCUAUCUUACCGUCAGCCACCAAAUCCGGGAAGGAAUAUUACGGCACCAUGCGGCCCUUAAGGCUCGAUCUAUCAUAGGCAGAUGUAUCUAGAGUUUUAGACUGGCAUAUUCUCUCGUUAGCAAGGCCAAUUAUGAAAUUGUCUCCAAAAAAGGUCAUAUACUUUGAAUUUCAAAGACAUGGCAUGUAGAAGUUAUUGUGAUCAAGAGUUGGGAGAUUCUGCCCAAUGUAGCUUACUAUCGAGCUUAUAGCUACUUGACAAACAAUUAAUUAGUAGUUAUUAGAUUCAAAUUGUUUAACAUUUCGUUAUGUUAUUUACACUCUCAAAUUAUGGAUUAAUAAAGUGCAUUGAGCUUUUUGAAGUGAA